ACUCGAGUGGCGAACGGGUGAGUAACACGUGGGUGAUCUGCCCUGCACUUCGGGAUAAGCCUGGGAAACUGGGUCUAAUACCGGAUAGGAGCCAUUUUUAGUGUGAUGGUCGGAAAGUUUUUCGGUGUAGGAUGAGCUCGCGGCCUAUCAGCUUGUUGGUGGGGUAAUGGCCUACCAAGGCGGCGACGGGUAGCCGGCCUGAGAGGGUGGACGGCCACAUUGGGACUGAGAUACGGCCCAG
rnacentral:rRNA from 1 species